GGUUAAGUGACUAAGCGUACAGGGCGGAUGCCUUGGCAAUCAGAGGCGAUGAAGGACGUGCUAAUCUGCGAAAAGCUUGGAUGAGUCGAUAAGAGGCGUUUAAUCCAAGAUAUCCGAAUGGGGAAACCCAGUAGAUGAAGAAUCUACUAUCAAUAAAUGAAUACAUAGUUUAUUGAGGCGAACCGGGAGAACUGAAACAUCUAAGUACCCCGAGGAAAAGAAAUCAACCGAGAUUCUGUGAGUAGCGGCGAGCGAAAGCGGAAGAGCCAGUAAGUUUUAGCUAGCAUAUUAGAGGAAUUGGCUGGGAAGCCAAAUCAAAGAGGGUGAUAAUCCCGUACUCGAAAGUAUGUUAGUGGAACUAAGCUUACGAUAAGUAAGGCGGGACACGAGAAAUCCUGUUUGAAGAUGGGGGGACCAUCCUCCAAGGCUAAAUACUCCUGAUUGACCGAUAGUGAACCAGUACUGUGAAGGAAAGGCGAAAAGAACCCCGGUGAGGGGAGUGAAAUAGAACCUGAAACCCUGUACGUACAAGCAGUAGGAGCGAGGGCAACCUUGUGACUGCGUACCUUUUGUAUAAUGGGUCAGCGACUUAUAUUUUGUAGCGAGGUUAACUGAAUAAGGGAGCCGAAGGGAAACCGAGUCUUAACUGGGCGUUGAGUUGCAAGGUAUAGACCCGAAACCCGGUGAUCUAGCCAUGGGCAGGUUGAAGGUUGGGUAACACUAACUGGAGGACCGAACCGACUAAUGUUGAAAAAUUAGCGGAUGACUUGUGGCUGGGGGUGAAAGGCCAAUCAAACCGGGAGAUAGCUGGUUCUCCCCGAAAUCUAUUUAGGUAGAGCCUUGAGCGGACACCUUCGGGGGUAGAGCACUGUUUCGGCUAGGGGUCCAUCCCGGAUUACCAACCCGAUGCAAACUGCGAAUACCGAAGAGUGAUACUCAGGAGACACACGGCGGGUGCUAACGUUCGUCGUGGAGAGGGAAACAACCCAGACCGCCAGCUAAGGUCCCAAAGUCUAUAUUAAGUGGGAAACGAAGUGGGAAGGCUUAGACAGCUAGGAUGUUGGCUUAGAAGCAGCCAUCAUUUAAAGAAAGCGUAAUAGCUCACUAGUCGAGUCGGCCUGCGCGGAAGAUGUAACGGGGCUCAAAUAUAGCACCGAAGCUGCGGCAUCAGAAUUUAUUCUGUUGGGUAGGGGAGCGUUGUGUAAGCGGAUGAAGGUGGCUCGAGAGGGUUGCUGGACGUAUCACAAGUGCGAAUGCUGACAUAAGUAACGAUAAAACGAGUGAAAAACUCGUUCGCCGGAAGACCAAGGGUUCCUGUCCAACGUUAAUCGGGGCAGGGUGAGUCGGCCCCUAAGGCGAGGCUGAAAAGCGUAGUCGAUGGGAAACGGGUUAAUAUUCCCGUACUUGGAUAAACUGCGAUGUGGGGACGGAGAAGGU
rnacentral:rRNA from 1 species